UACGUAGGGUGCAAGCGUUAUCCGGAAUCACUGGGCGUAAAGCGUCCGCAGCCGGGAGUCUAAGUGAGGUGUUAAAUCGUGUGGCUCAACCAUAUCGAUGCAUCUCAUACUGGGCACCUAGAGGAAAUCAGAGGCAAGUGGAAUUACGAGUGUAGCGGUAAAAUGCGUAGAUAUUCGUAGGAACACCAAUGGCGAAGGCAGCUUGCUGGGAUUUUUCUGACGGUCAGGGACGAAAGCGUGGGGAGCGAACAGG
rnacentral:rRNA from 1 species